ACAAACGUGGCCGAGUGGUCGAAGGCACUCCCCUGCUAAGGGAGUAGGCCCGAAAGGGUCUCGUGGGUUCGAAUCCCAUCGUCUCCG
rnacentral:tRNA from 1 species